rnacentral:rRNA from 1 species
CAAACGACUCUCGGCAACGGAUAUCUCGGCUCUUGCAUCGAUGAAGAACGUAGCGAAAUGCGAUACUUGGUGUGAAUUGCAGAAUCCCGUGAACCAUCGAGUCUUUGAACGCAAGUUGCGCCCGAUGCCACUAGGCUGAAGGCACGUCUGCCUGGGCGUCACACA